rnacentral:misc_RNA from 1 species
GUACUGCGAGUGAGCGGGAAAGCUCAAAUUUAAAAUCUGGCAGUCUCUGGCUGUCCGAGUUGUAAUUUAGAGAAGUGUUACCCGCGCUGGACCGUGUACAAGUCCUCUGGAAUGGGGCGUCAUAGAGGGUGAGAAUCCCGUCUUUGAUACGGACUACCAGUGCUUUUGUGGUGCGCUCUCGAAGAGUCGAGUUGUUUGGGAAUGCAGCUCAAAAUGGGUGGUAAAUUCCAUCUAAAGCUAAAUACAGGCGAGAGACCGAUAGCGAACAAGUACCGUGAGGGAAAGAUGAAAAGAACUUUGGAAAGAGAGUUAAACAGUACGUGAAAUUGCUGAAAGGGAAACGCUUGAAGUCAGUCGCGUCUGCUGAGAAUCAGCCUUGCUUGCAUGGUGUACUUCUCAGUUGACGGGUCAACAUCAGUUUUGAUCAUUGGAUAAGGGCUAGAGAAAUGUGGCACCCUCGGGUGUGUUAUAGUCUCUGGUCGUAUACAGUGGUUGGGACUGAGGAACUCAGCACGCCGCAAGGCCGGGUUUUUAACCACGUACGUGCUUAGGAUGUUGACAUAAUGGCUUUAAUCGACCCGUCUUGA